rnacentral:rRNA from 1 species
UGCUAAUACCGCAUGACAUAUCGGAACCACAUGGUUUUGAUAUCAAAGAUUUUAUCGCUUGAAGAUGGACUCGCGUCCGAUUAGUUAGUUGGUGAGGUAACGGCUCACCAAGACCGCGAUCGGUAGCCGGACUGAGAGGUUGAACGGCCACAUUGGGACUGAGACACGGCCCAAACUCCUACGGGAGGCAGCAUG